GUCAUUAAUUAGAUCGGUGCCGGAGUUAACGCAUUAAGUGAACCGCCUGGGGACUACGGCCGCAAGGCUAAAACUCAAGAGAAUUGACGGGGCCCUGCACAAGCGGUGGAGCACGUGGUUUAAUUCGAUGAUAAGCGAAGAACCUUACCUGGGCUUGACAUGCUAGCAGUAGGAGCCAGAGAUGGUAACGACCCCUACCUUUGGUAGGGGAACUAGUACAGGUGAUGCAUGGCUGUCGUCAGCUCGUGUCGUGGGACGUUGGGUUAAGUCCCGAAACGAGCGCAACCCCUGUUGUUAGUUGCCAGCGGGUAAUGCCGGGGACUCUAACAAGACUGCUGGUGAAUAGCCGGAGGAAGGAGGGGAUGACGUCAAGUCAUCAUGUCCCUUAUGUCCAGGGCGACACACAUGCUACAAUGGGAGGUACAAUGGGCUGCUAAACCGCAAGGUCAUGCGAAUCCCAAAAAGCCUUCCUCAGUUCGGAUUGAGGUCUGCAACCCGACCUCAUGAAGCCGGAAUCGCUAGUAAUCGCAGGUCAGCCACACUGCGGUGAAUAUGUACUCAGGGCUUGUACACACCGCCCGUCACACCAAUCGAGUAGAGGGGACCUGAAGUCGUCUUACGGGCGCCUAAGGUAACUUCUGUAAGAGGGGUG
rnacentral:rRNA from 1 species